UCCAUAUGCCCAGAAGUGUUGGUCUCUGGCUCAAUGGGCUGCUGCUUCCACCACCGUACAGAACCCGGAAGAUUGCUGCGCACAGACAGGAGAGGGAAAAUGAACUUCCCACUCUUCGUAUGACAUUCCAGAUCACAUACUGAAGCCAUGAAACUAAUGGACAGAAAGAGGAACCAGCCAAGCUGGCCUUCCAACUGGAGACAUUCCCAUUAAAGUGCCAGAAAUGUGAAGAAAAACAUUUUGGAUUCUCCAGACCAGACCAGCAGCAACUGAAUACCACUGAACAGUCCCAGAAAAGGAAGUAAGAAACAAGGAAGGAGAUGGCCUUAAAGGGAAGAGUGGCAAGAACAGAAUAAAAAGGUAAAUCAAAAAAAGAAGAUUGGUUAGGCUGCUAACAGGAAUCAUCCUGAUUUGCUUUCUCUCAUCUACCACAU